UGUUUUUUUUGUUUUUUAGAUAUUAAUAUAUUGUUCUAUAUUUGUUUUUAAAGUUUAAUUCUUGCUUUAUGUUAACCUUUAAGGAUGUUAUAUAUCUAAGUUUUAUUUAAUAAUUAAAUAUUUUUUAUUUGUAGUAUAUAUAUUUGUAUAUUAAAUUAUUUUAGAUUCAGUAAUCUUUAUUAAUAAAGGCUAAUGUCGUGCCAGCAGCCGCGGUUAUACUUUAUUUUUUAGGUUAAUUUUUCUGGUAACAAUUUUAUUUGUUGUGGUAUUAGUUUUAUUAAUAUUUGGUGGAAUAUUAUUAUUAUUUUAGGUUUCUUUAUAAUAUUUUUGUUAAGGCUAUUAUUUAAACUAGGAUUAGAUACCCUAUUAUUUUAGAUUUAACUUUUUACCAAGGGAUUAGUAAUUGUACGAAAUCUAAAGAAUGUGGCGGCAUAAUAUCUUUUUAGAGGAACCUGCCCUUUAAAUGAUUAUACACGAUUUUUUUUAUUAGUUUUAUGGUUUGUAUACUUCCGUUAUAAGAAUAUUUUUAUAAUAUAUUUUCGUGUUUUUUAAUUAAAAUUUAUUUCAGGUCAAGGUGCAGCUUAUAGAUUAGUAUGAGGUGGGUUACAAUAAUUUAAUUUAUAUGGAUGUUUAUUUUAGAUUAUUAACUGAAAGUGGAUUUAUUAGUAAAUUUUAAUAAUUAUUAAUUUUGAACAAGUUCUAUUUUGUGUACAUAUCGCCCGUCACUCUCAUUUUGAGAUAAGUCGUAACAUAGUAGAUUUACUGGAAAGUGAAUCUGGUU
rnacentral:ncRNA from 1 species